rnacentral:rRNA from 1 species
UGGGGAAUUUUGGACAAUGGGGGAAACCCUGAUCCAGCCAUCCCGCGUGUGCGAUGAAGGCCUUCGGGUUGUAAAGCACUUUUGGCAGGAAAGAAACGUCAUGGGUUAAUACCCCGUGAAACUGACGGUACCUGCAGAAUAAGCACCGGCUAACUACGUGCCAGCAGCCGCGGUAAUACGUAGGGUGAAGCGUUAAUCGGAAUUACUGGGCGUAAAGCGUGCGCAUGCGGUUCGGAAAGAAAGAUGUGAAAUCCCAGGGCUCAACUUUGGAACUGCAUUUUUAACUACCGGGCUAGAGUGUGUCAGAGGGAGGUGGAAUUCCGCGUGUAGCAGUGAAAUGCGUAGAUAUGCGGAGGAACACCGAUGGCGAAGGCAGCCUCCUGGGAUAACACUGACGCUCAUGCACGAAAGCGUGGGGGGCAAACAGG